GGCAGGACUCACUGGGAACAAGACUGAAGAUACUAAAGCACAUGGAGAUUGUGCCUCCUGGGAAGAGCUAAAGCAGGGCAAGUAAGGAUGCCCAGGUUUCAAGACAGCCGAGAAAGCUCAUCCGGUUGCAGUGAUCAGACACCAGCAAGGGAUGGGAGACACAAAGAGAUAAACCUGCACAGGUGCCUCAAGCAACAGUUCAUCUUUGCAUCCUACCUUUCUAGGUAGUUGGCUUGAUUUAAAGUGUGUUAUUUAUUGUCCUGCUAUGAAAUGCAGUCUAAUAAAUAUUUUAUUUAUAGUAUUUUUGUGAUGUGGAAGCUAUAAUAAAGUUAUAUUUUCUGCUGAUAAAAUUGUUUCUAGCUUGUAUAAUUUUAUGUCGGAAUUAAAGGUAUGAGUAAUUCGUGGUACUAUGUAAAUGGCAUCAUGAUUUCUAAUUAUUUGAUCACCUAACAAGUUCAAAAACCACUACUGAGGAAAAUACCAUAAAAGUAAGCAAGCUAACAAAAGAAAAAAAAAUAGCAAUUCAAUAACCAGGUUAUACCUUUAGAGUAACCAUAUUAUACCUUUACAGUAGCUUUUGCUUUGUGUAUGUGUUUGGUGGAGUGUUAUAUCUCUAAUGAUGCUCUUUAAGACUGGUGUUUAUAAGUUACUGUAUUCCUUUCUAAUUUCAUGGACAGGAAAAUAUUGUUGAAAAAUCAAACUGAUUUUGAUGGUCAUAUAUUAGUUUAUCUAAAGAACCUGAGGUGGUGGUUGUGUUCGUUGUUCAUGUUGUUUAUUUGUCUUUGUUUUUCAUAAUGUAGAUGGCAGUUGGUAUUAAAAGGCUAUGUAAAUUGGUCCACAACUUCUGUAAGUAACUGGAAGUACUUUCCGUUUACAUCCCAUUUGUGAACAAAACGUAUUUAAGAAAAAGUGAAAAAAUAAGCAAACCUACCAGAUUUCUUGGAGUUAAUCAUUUUGCAGACUUGGGCAUUUUUUUCUGUAUUUUUAGGAAAAGAAUUAUCUUCCUGAUAAAAGUGAAUUUUAAAUAUUAAUUAAACUUAUUUGAAUCUAUGAUCUUGGUAGUUCUUGAAAGCAUUAACAUUAUGAGGUAAGAAUCCUUUCCCCUUGAAAAUAAAUACAAAUAAAUACUUCUGCUUAUAUACUUUA
rnacentral:lncRNA from 1 species